CCUACGGGAGGCAGCAGUGGGGAAUAUUGGACAAUGGGGGCAACCCUGAUCCAGCCAUGCCGCGUGUGUGAAGAAGGCCCUCGGGUUGUAAAGCACUUUCAGUGAGGAAGAACGCCUGGUGGUUAAUACCCAUCAGGAAAGACAUCACUCACAGAAGAAGCACCGGCUAACUCCGUGCCAGCAGCCGCGGUAAUACGGAGGGUGCGAGCGUUAAUCGGAAUUACUGGGCGUAAAGCGCGCGUAGGUGGCUUGAUAAGCCGGUUGUGAAAGCCCCGGGCUCAACCUGGGAACGGCAUCCGGAACUGUCAAGCUAGAGUGCAGGCGAGGAAGGUAGAAUUCCCGGUGUAGCGGUGAAAUGCGUAGAGAUCGGGAGGAAUACCAGAGGCGAAGGCGGCCUUCUGGACUGACACUGACACUGAGGUGCGACAGCGUGGGUAGCAAACAGGAUUAGAUACCCGGGUAGUC
rnacentral:rRNA from 1 species